CCUGUAGCUCAGACGGUAAAGAAUCUGCCUGCAAUGCAGGAGACCUGGGUUCAAUUCCCAGGUCAGGA
rnacentral:tRNA from 1 species